UAUGUACUCUCUCCGUUUUAAAUUUUUUGUCUUAGGUUUGUCUAAAUAUUAAUGUAUCUAGUCAUGUUUUAAUGUUUAGAUACAUCUAUUUCUAUAUACAAACAUAAUACAAGAAUUUGGGACGGAGGAGUAUAUC
rnacentral:pre_miRNA from 1 species